GGAAAAAUACAUAAAUUCACAAUUCAUUUGGAGAUUUAAUGCAAUCCUUUGGGGCAUUAGUAGAUCAAAUAUCAUUAAUUGAGUAAUUUAGGCUCAACCUACAGUGCACAUUUUUUUUGUUGUUGUUUGAGACAGAGUCUCGCUCUGUCGCCCAGGCUGGAGUGCAGUGGCACGAUCUUGGAGUGCAUGUAUUUUUUGAUAAGGAAUAUUUAAUAUCCAAAUUCAUUUCUGAACUACUCCACAAGAAAGUCUGAAAAUAUAUUCCAUAGACGAAUCAUCAUAUGCACUAUGCUCUUCAAGAAUAAGGCAAUGAAACAGCUAUGCCAGAGAGACCAUGACCUUAUAAUUUACAGCAUAGUGUUGAGGAGAUCUUUAAAAAAAUGAUAAAAAGAAAGAGAUGGAUAAAGACAUACAGAUACCCAAAGGAUGCAGAGAGAAAAAGAUGGAACAAGAAUAUAUGUGAAAGACUACAAACAAUGGCAAGCACAGAAGAGCAAAAGAAAGAAAGAAAGGGUAACAGAGAAAGCAAUAGAGGAAGAAUAUGAAGCCAUGUUAAUCUGAAUGUGGGCUCUUUUAUACCAAGAAUCUACUCCAAGGCUGAAUAUUAGCUCACUUUUAAGAAUCAAAGUUGUGGAUUUCAUAGGAUCCAACCACACUCAGGAAGAUGAGAUCACACAAGGAUGUGGACAUAUGGAUGUGAGGAUCAUAGAGGCUACCAUAAGGGUUAAUCCACUACAAGUGUAUUUGUCAAGAAAAUUUGACCAGCCAUGUAAUUUCACUCCUUCCAGACAUACUUUGAUGUGAACAGGAAGUAUAAAAGAGCAGUGCAAAGAGUGGACUGUACCGGAUACUGUCAGAGACUUCCAAAGUAUCCUUUUUUAACUGGCGCAUACCUCCCCCAGGUGCUGUCAGUGUAGUAUAUUAACAAAUCAUAGCUGCCUUAUUUUCUAGAAAAUUGUUCUUGGACAAACAAGUCUUAGUCUGGGAAGCAACCCUUACCACCCCCAUCCCACCAAAAAAAAAAAAAAAAAAACCACUUUGCCAUUGACUAACUGUGGUGGAGAGAUUUACUUUUGAAGGUGGGAUUAAAUCUGUGCAGUAAUUUGUGGGACA
rnacentral:lncRNA from 1 species